AUUGAACGCUGGCGGCAUGCCUUACACAUGCAAGUCGAACGGUAACAGGUCUUCGGAUGCUGACGAGUGGCGAACGGGUGAGUAAUACAUCGGAACGUGCCCGAUCGUGGGGGAUAACGAAGCGAAAGCUUUGCUAAUACCGCAUAAGAUCUACGGAUGAAAGCAGGGGACCGCAAGGCCUUGUGCGAACGGAGCGGCCGAUGGCAGAUUAGGUAGUUGGUGGGAUAAAAGCUUACCAAGCCGACGAUCUGUAGCUGGUCUGAGAGGACGACCAGCCACACUGGGACUGAGACACGGCCCAGACUCCUACGGGAGGCAGCAGUGGGGAAUUUUGGACAAUGGGCGAAAGCCUGAUCCAGCCAUGCCGCGUGCAGGAUGAAGGCCUUCGGGUUGUAAACUGCUUUUGUACGGAACGAAAAGACUCUGGUUAAUACCUGGGGUCCAUGACGGUACCGUAAGAAUAAGCACCGGCUAACUACGUGCCAGCCGCCGCAGUAACAC
rnacentral:rRNA from 1 species